UGACCAGCAAACCCAGCACUAUCUAUUUCCCCCGUCUCUCGAUCUCCCCCUCUUUCUCACCUCCAGUGAUGAGUCUUAACUCUCUGAACCGCUGCCACCAGUGGACCAUUAACGUUAAACUCUUUAAAUCUCCCAGUCUCUCUGUCUCCCUCUCUUGACAAUAUACACCUCAAACAUUUGAUCAUCGAAACACUUCGGGAUCUUUUAGAUUCGCCUAGAACAGAUUUUGUUCUGUUUGUAUAUGAAAUUGGCAGAUUGGAUUCACUGAUAGCUUUUAUAUUUGCAGGAGCAGAAGAUGGACACAUAUGAAGAACUACUUCGAGGGUAUUUUGGCAAGUAUGGAGAUUUGGUUGAAUCUGUGAUCAUGCGAGACCGUAUCAAAGGACAUGCCCUUGGCUUUGAUUCAUAGUCUUUUCAAUUCUGUUGCAGAGAGAAUGGUCAUGGAGAAACACACUAUCAAAUGGAUUGCUCUGAAAAUCCCAAUAUUUCUGUAAUUGUUGUUCGCUUUACUAUCAAUAAAGUCUUGAGCUGAAACUUUUAUCCAACUGUUUUGAUUUUAAAAAUUUAGAGUGACUGGCGAAUUAUGUGGUUUUGAUUUACCUAAGACUUCUGUGGAAUGUGAACACUAGCGAAUUCAUAUUGCCACAUAUGACGAGCACGAGGACUAGGAACUUUGACGCAUCCAUCUUUUGGCUGAUAACAGAAGAGACUAAAGCGAUGGAAGACAAGCACCGUGAACUGUAUUCUGCAACAAUGUUGAAGAAACAAGGAGUCAGGUCUUCUUUACUUGCAGCUUGCGGCAAAGAUUUGAGGUUAUGGGCUUUAGUUGUUGGAAAGAAAACAUAAUUGGUUGCAACUUGCAACUGGUGGAGGUGAUGCAUUUACUAAUUUACGGCAUGUUUCUACCUUUUCUGAAAGAGGAUGUAACAAUUUUCGGAAAUCAAGAGUUUGAAAAUACAGUUUUAGAUGCCGAAUACACUAAACCUAAAGAUUAGCAUUUGAGUUUUGUAGGCGUCUAAGUUUGUGGACUACAGCGUGAAAUUUAUCGAAGAUUAUCCGCACCAUGCACCAUCCCUUUGGCAGCUGAAACACGGCAAGAAAACAAAAUUGGGAGUAGGAGAUUAAACGAGAAGAUAUACAACCCCGCGCUUGCGCAGGGCCAACCUCUAAUCUAUAUAUAUACUAUUAUAAUAGUACAGUUCUCUCGGUUCUCUCUCAUUGCAGAGUGUCCACGUCAGCAGCAUGGCUUACGAAACAGGUCAAAAAGAACACUAGCACAUACAUAAUAGGCACAAACUCAGUUAUGCGACGAAGACAAAGAGUCGUUUCCGCUAGAUGCGUCAAAGCAACGUGAAAUGUAAAUCAUCGACAGUUACAUCUACCAUUCAUGUUUCAAAAGCUGUUACAACUAUUUAUCAGGCCACUCAUAUAAAUACUCGUCAGGGCUGCUUACGAUGUCGUUGCCUUUCUUGCGUCACCGCUCCGAAGCCAAGAAGCCAUUUUGUUGAUCCUUAUCCGUUAUCCGUGUUUCUGGGACUUGUCUUCUUACAAUGGGAGAAAACUUCCCUUUGCUACGGCUCAUAUUGGUCAAGUGUUUUGAGAUGAGAAACUGAGCGCUUUGUUGAUACUGAGAAUUAGGUCCAUCCCAAAUUAUCUGAGGAUGGCAAGAAGAAGUGGCAUUACUCUUGUGCCUGAAGAGAAAUAUGCAGGACCUAAAGAAGAAGAGAAACUUGUGAUUAAUUAUAUGAAGAAUCAAUUUAGUCUUGCACUCAAAUGAAAUUAAAAGAAUGUUGUUGAACUUUUUGAAAGGCCAUGAACAAGGAAGAAGUCGUGGAGAUGAAAGCAACCUUGGAAUCCAAUGAGGAAGAUGAAUUGGUGUGUACCAUAAAGAAGUGAGCAUCAAGAAUAUCAUGGUGUCAAUCUCAAAGGAGAAAAAGAGAAAGCACCACCUGGUUUUCACCCUGUCAGUAAAUGGACAUUCGUUUAAGAUCAUAUGUUGUCUUGUACGUUAUAGCAAAGCAGGGACAAACCGUUGAACGUUUUCCAUUAGAUAACAAAUCGACAGUGUGUCCUAUUCUUCAUGAACAACCUAAAGGGCAAAAACGUAGU